CAGUGCUCUGACUUAGAUGGCGA
rnacentral:snRNA from 1 species